rnacentral:snRNA from 1 species
AUCGCUUCUCUGCCUUUUGGCUAAGAUCAAGUGUAGUGUAGGUCUUAUGGUUCGGAAUAUCCCUUUGGACAGUCCUGGCUAUGUCCACUUUCAAGAUCUUGCUGACCUCCUUCUACUGGUGGAGGGACAGUGUUGGACAGACAGCCUUGAUGCUGUGAUAGUCAAAACACU